AGAGCGGCAAUGGCUCUAUAUAAACAGGGCAGCCACAGGGAGGAGGAACACAAGGAGCAGGGAGACAGAAAGGCAGGGGAAGCCAUGAUGGAUCUCACAGAGACACAAACAAGGGGGCCAAGCCUGCACCGUAACCGCCCGGACUCGGGGUUUGUCGGCAGCUUUUUGGGGCUGCAGCUGCUGCCAUUGUGGCCUUGAGGGUCACUCCCUCCACACCCAUGGAACAUCUGAGCCAGAUAAGGAGGAGAAAGAAGAGGACUCGGGAUGACACAUUCCAGGAGAUGCUGCCAGUGUUGCAUCAGAGAACGACACCAGGGCCUGGAGGAUGACCCUUGCAGACAGCAUGCAGAAGGCAAGAGUGGUUAGAAAAAAGGCCCGGGAGUUCAAGCAGGAAAAGGAGAGGGAGAUGCACCAGGACAUAAUGGGGCUUCUCAGGCAGCAAACAGAGAUGUUGCGGACUCUGGUAGACCUACGCUCAAGAGUCUUGUGCUGACCGCCCUCUGCAGCCUAUAGACAACUCAAUGUCUGGACCUCCCUACACCUCCCCUCAACAUUCCACAUGGCAUCAAGGGCUGCUGCAUUACCCCUACCACUCCACCUGGGGAACAUUAAAGACAAUCACAACUGCACCUACGCUGACCUGUGAAAGACAUGGUUGGUGUAUGUGUACCUGAAAUGGAAAUGACUGUUUUUUCCCCUUCAUAAUUUCUGUUCCCUUAAUUUAUUAUGGUUUAUAAAGUGCUAAAUGGGUGUUUUAUUUUC